rnacentral:rRNA from 1 species
UUCUAUGGCCAUGCUACCCUGAACAAUCCUGUCUGAUCUUGGAAGCCAAGUGGGGUCGGGCCUGGUUGAUACGUGGAUAGGAGACUAUCUAGGAAGACCAGGUGCUAUAGGCA